GCGGGUGUAGCUCAGUUGGUUAGAGCGCCAGAUUGUGGCUCUGGAGGUCGGGUUCGAGACCCACUACCCGCC
rnacentral:tRNA from 1 species